GGUUUCGUGGUCUAGUGGUAUGAUUCUCGCUUAGGGACAACCCUUAGCUUAGCUUGCGAGAGGUCCCGGGUUCAAUCCCCGGCGAAACCC